ensembl:snoRNA SNORD58 Small nucleolar RNA SNORD58
UUGCCAUGAUGACCAUCUUAGGACACCUUUGGAGUUCUGCAUGAAAACAAACAGUUAAUCUGAGCAAC